AUGGGAGGACGGAUCUUCGUGCUCCGCUGCAACAUCAGGUUCGAGGCCUUUAUGUUCUACGACGACAAAAACACGCGGCGGAUUCCAUUUUCAUCUCCAUCAUCCAUGGCUCCGGCACCGGCACCGGCCCCCACAGGACAUGGAAUCAGACCUUGGGUAAUAGCCUUAUCGGUAGCUGCACCUGUAACACUGGUUGCUCUCUGCUGCUUCAUCGUUUACUGUUGUCGGCUUAGAAAAAGGCACACAAAAAAAGGUAAAGUGACCUUACAGGAAAAAGGUACUCACCAGUUUCAAGGAGAUGAACUAGUUUGGGAAAUGGAAGCAGAGUUGUCUGAAUUUUCAGUAUAUGAGUUUCAUCAGAUAUUAGAGGCUACAAGUAACUUCUCCGAGGAAAACAAACUUGGCGAAGGUGGAUUUGGCCCAGUUUAUAAGGGCUACUUUCCUGAGGGAAUAGAGAUAGCAGUUAAGAGACUUGAUUCCGAUUCAGAUCAAGGUUUCAUAGAGUUCAAAAAUGAAGUUGAGCUCAUAGCCAAACUUCAACACAGAAAUUUGGUUAGGCUCAUGGGAUGUUGCUCUCAAGGAGAAGAGAAAGUACUGGUCUACGAAUAUUUGCCAAACAAAAGCUUGGACUUCUUCAUCUUUGAUGAAGAUAGAAAAGUUCUACUGGAUUGGGAGAAACGUCUCGCAAUAAUUGUAGGAAUAGCAGAAGGACUUCUUUACCUACAUAAGCACUCUAGGUUGCGUGUUAUACAUCGGGAUCUUAAACCAAGCAACAUUCUUUUGGAUAGCACAAUGAAUGCUAAAAUUUCAGAUUUUGGACUAGCAAAAAUAUUUAGCUCAAAUAACAAUGAAGGAAAUAAAACAAGAAAGGUGGUUGGUACAUAUGGCUACAUGGCACCCGAGUAUGCUUCCCAUGGCCUCUUCUCUGUCAAAUCGGAUGUAUUCAGCUUUGGUGUUUUAGUUCUUGAGAUCAUUAGCGGGAAGAAGAAUUCCCAUGAGUGUGGAGCUUUCAUUAACCUCAUUGGAUAUGCUUGGCAGUUAUUUGAAGAGGAAAGAUGGAUCGAACUCGUUGAUGCGGCAUUGAUUCCCAACGGUGAUUCGUCAGAAAUGAUGAGGUCCAUUAACAUUGCAUUGUUGUGUGUACAAGAAGGUGCAAUUGAUCGGCCGACCAUGUUAGAUGUUGUUGCAAUGCUAAGCAACAAGACUAUGAUCUUAAAUAAGCCUAAGCACCCAGCAUAUUACAGUAUAAGUGUAGGCAACAAAGAAGCAUCCGCUGCUGCUAAGUCUUGUAGUUUUAAUGAUGUGACUAUAUCUACGAUAACUCCUAGAUAG
rnacentral:rRNA from 1 species